GGAUGUGAAGGUGAUCUGGCUGCGACAUGGGUCACCCCAUUGGUUGCCAGGGUUGCUCUGACUGAUGUGGCCGCCUAGAUGGGUGUCCCCUUCCUCCCGCACCGCUCCGUGUGUGUCCAUCCCAAAGCUGCACGCUCUGUCAGGGGCGGCGGCCUUCCCCGAGAGAGGAGGACCAUUCUCUGGCCGAGGGUAUAGAGUAGCUGCACCCCCUGCUAGAAGCUGCGGACAAGCUCCUGAGGCCCACUUGUAGGAGAAUGUAGGGAGCCAACCUUCCGGGGCUCCAGACACAUCCAAAUGAGGUGCUGUCUGUGGCAGUCUGCCCUUAUUA
rnacentral:snRNA from 1 species